rnacentral:rRNA from 1 species
AGUGAACGCUGGCGGUAGGCCUAACACAUGCAAGUCGAACGGCAGCACAGUAAGAGCUUGCUCUUACGGGUGGCGAGUGGCGGACGGGUGAGGAAUACAUCGGAAUCUACUUUUUCGUGGGGGAUAACGUAGGGAAACUUACGCUAAUACCGCAUACGACCUACGGGUGAAAGCAGGGGAUCUUCGGACCUUGCGCGAUUGAAUGAGCCGAUGUCGGAUUAGCUAGUUGGCGGUGUAAAGGCCCACCAAGGCGACGAUCCGUAGCUGGUCUGAGAGGGUGAUCAGCCACACUGGAACUGAGACACGGUCCAGACUCCUACGGGAGGCAGCAGUGGGGAAUAUUGGACAAUGGGCGCAAGCCUGAUCCAGCCAUACCGCGUGGGUGAAGAAGGCCUUCGGGUUGUAAAGCCCUUUUGUUGGGAAAGAAAAGCAGCAGGUUAAUACCCCGCUGUUCUGACGGUACCCAAAGAAUAAGCACCGGCUAACUUCGUG